rnacentral:rRNA from 1 species
GUAUUGUGAAUGAAAGGUGAAAAGAAUUCCGGAAGGUAGGUGAAAUAGUGGUAAAUUAAAUAAUAGGAUGAAAUCUAAAGAAUUUAUUAUAUAAGUGGUUGUGGAAGCAAGAAUUGUUGAGUUUAAACUAACAUGUUUAUUGUUAUUAAAGCCCGAAAACUACCGAUCUAACUAUCAUUAAGAUUUUUCUGCUGGUUGAGUAUACUAAAGAUUGAAAUGUGGAGGGGUGCACACCUGCCAUUCAAUUGAUAGUUGGUGGUUAAAGGUCAUACGAGGUGUGUUAAUAUCUGGGUGUGUUCGAAAGAUGUAAAGGUGUCGAAUAAAUGUAAUUUGCUGGCAUAAGAUUGUUGUGAAAUGAUUUUAAUUAAGAGGGAUUAACUAUAAAUAAGGUUCAAGCGCCUCCGGGUGUUAUUAUUAGUCGUUUGCAAUUAGGUUAAGAUGGGUAUUCGCUUAUGUUACAAAUGGGAAAAACCCGAACUAGUAGUUAAAGUUGAAAAAUAUCAAUGUGUCUUAAAUGAAAUUAUCUAAUAGAUUUGUUUUAAUGUCAGCUCAAAAGUUGGAUUAAUAGCAUUCAUCUUUUCAAAAGUGUGUAGUACCUUAUGAGUUUAAUUAUCUAUGUAUGUGUUUGGCAAGUAAAGAUAUUGCUGAAGCUCUAG